CUCAGAUCACAGUAGGGCACGACUAACAGCCAUAUCCCUGUGGUAGCAGUGUGACUAAGAGUUUAAUUUGGGAGCAGCCGUCACUUCAAAGGGAGACAGUUCAUCCCCGGGACACAUCAGGAACCAUUUGUGAUUUGCAGGCAGUAAGCAGUCACUGAGGGAACCUCAUGGCCUCCAGCUAAUUAAAAACAUUUAGACACUCGGAACAAACAGAAGAAUCAGUGGUGGUUUGGAUUGUUUGACAGGUCAUGUGGCUUUGUGCAUGUGGGUGUCACACUUUACACUGGACUUAUUAUUGCUGUAAUUAAAAUAUGACUACUAUGAGGAUACAACCACCAGGGAUAUAAAUAUUGAAUUUUAAAUAUGUAGAUGUGUUUAUCAAAUGUUUACGUGCACUAAAGUGGGAACUUUUUCAAACUGUCAAACAACAAAAAAUUCUGCAUGUCACAAAUUCCAAAAUCCAAUAAGUUUCAAACUCUCGGUCUUCUUUGAAGUAAUACUCAAAUAAUGUUACAAUCCAAAAGAGUCUCUUGCUUAAUGUGGAGCCAUGUCUUUGUUAACAUAAAUUUAUUGUUACAACCUAUUGGCAAUUUGUCACAACCAAGCAUUCACCUUAACUCAAACAAAACAGUCAGCGAAGCAGGUUGUCAACCCGGGUGGCCUCCUUCUGGUUUGUCUCACUUAUGCACAAAAACUUUAACAAUGACUAAUAACUGACCUAGAGUGUGAGGAGACAUUAACACAUUCAGUAUGUGCUUGAGUAUAAUUAAUUGUGCAAACGAUGAUGUGAGCAAACCUCUUUAAUGGCUUUUCUAUGCAUUCAUGAAAAUAAUAACACUGACCGUAAGCAGGAUGGCAACAUGAGCAUGAACAUUUAUAAAUAAUCAAGGCAUUGUUGUGAGAGGAAGCUACAUUAGGACAAUAAACACGUGUCGAUUU